rnacentral:rRNA from 1 species
UACGGAGGAUGCAAGCGUUAUCCGGAAUGAUUGGGCGUAAAGCGUCCGUAGGUGGCUUUGUAAGUCUGCUGUUAAAGAGUGAGGCUCAACCUCAUAAGAGCAGUGGAAACUACACGGCUAGAGUGCGUUCGGGGUGGAGGGAAUUCCUGGUGUAGAGGUGAAAUGCGUAGAGAUCAGGAAGAACAUCGGUGGCGAAAGCGCUCUGCUAGGCCGCAACUGACACUGAGGGACGAAAGCGAGGGGAGCGAAUGGG